CAAAGAAAUAAAUUCUCCAUGACCCGGCAGCAGGUAAUUGAUGACAUCGAGGCCGUUUAUAGGGUCGAAGACCAGAGGAGUAAGCUGUACUGGUGUCUGGAUGAGAGGCCCCCCAGAGAGACCAAGUUUGAGAGAAUCGAGGAGUUCCUAAAAGGGGGUAAUGCAUUGGAUUAACGUCAGUGUGAGCCUGAACAUUACGAUCUGACAUGUAGAAGCAAAUCAAGCAUGGUCCUGUAAAAUAAAAAUGUAAGAAUUGGGGGGAUAAUUAGUAAACACUUAAAACAUUAAA